rnacentral:rRNA from 1 species
UAUCGGAUUGUACUAAGCCAUGCGAGUCAUUGUAGCAAUACAAGGCGGACGGCUCAGUAACACGUAGUCAACCUAACUCGUGGACGUGGAUAGCCUCGGGAAACUGAGAAUAAUCCACGAUAGAUCAUAGUGCCUGGAAUGGCUUAUGGUCCAAACAGUUUACUGCCAUGGGAUGGGAGUGCGGCCUAUCAGCUAGUUGGUGAGGUAAUGGCCCAUCAAGGCGAUUACAGGUACGGGCUCUGAGAGGAGUAGCCCGGAGAUGGGUACUGAGACACGGACCCAGGCCCUAUGGGGAGCAGCAGGCGAGAAACCUUAGCAAUGUGCGAAAGCACGACUGGGUCAGUCCGAGUGAUUCCUGAUAAAGGAGUCUUUUGCCUGUCCUAAAAGCACAGGUGAAUAAGGGGUGGGCAAGUCUGGUGUCAGCCUCCGCGGUAAUACCAGCACCUCGAGUGGUCAGGACGUUUAUUGGGCCUAAAGCAUCCGUAGCCGGCUCUGCAAGUCUUCGGUUAAAUCCACCUGCUCAACAGAUGGGCCGCUGGAGAUACUACAGAGCUAGGGAGUGGGAGAGGCAGACGGUAUUCAGUGGGUAGGGGUAAAAUCCUCUGAUCCAUUGAGGACCACCAGUGGCGAAGGCGGUCUGCCAGAACACGUUAGACGGUGAGGGAUGAAAGCUGGGGGAGCAAACCGGAUUAGAUACCCGGGUAGUCCCAGCUGUAAACGAUGCAAACUCGGUGAUGCAUUGGCUUAUGGCCAAUGCAGUGCCGCAGGGAAGCCGUUAAGUUUGCCGCCUGGGAAGUACGGACGCAAGUCUGAAACUUAAAGGAAU